rnacentral:rRNA from 1 species
GACGAACGCUGGCGGCGUGCCUAAUACAUGCAAGUAGAACGCUGAAAGAGGAGCUUGCUCUUCUGGAUGAGUUGCGAACGGGUGAGUAACGCGUAGGUAACCUGCCUGGUAGCGGGGGAUAACUAUUGGAAACGAUAGCUAAUACCGCAUAAUAUUGACUAUUGCAUGAUAGUCAAUUGAAAGGUGCAAAUGCACCACUACCAGAUGGACCUGCGUUGUAUUAGCUAGUUGGUGGGGUAACGGCUCACCAAGGCGACGAUACAUAGCCGACCUGAGAGGGUGAUCGGCCACACUGGGACUGAGACACGGCCCAGACUCCUACGGGAGGCAGCAGUAGGGAAUCUUCGGCAAUGGACGGAAGUCUGACCGAGCAACGCCGCGUGAGUGAAGAAGGUUUUCGGAUCGUAAAGCUCUGUUGUAAGAGAAGAACGAGUGUGAGAGUGGAAAGUUCACACUGUGACGGUAUCUUACCAGAAAGAAGGA